rnacentral:snRNA from 1 species
GUGCUUGCUUCAGUAGCACAUAUACUGAAAUUGGAAUGAUACAGAGAAGAUUAGCAUGGCCCCUGUGCAAGGAUGACACGCAAAUUCGUGAAGCAUCCCAUAUUUUU